UAGCCUAGUGGUUAAGGCUAUGGAUCGCUAAUCCGGAGACGGCGGGUUCGAUUCCCGU
rfam:Aedes albopictus isolate Foshan contig40155, whole genome shotgun sequence.